rnacentral:misc_RNA from 1 species
UUAAUUUUUACCUCAUCUCAUUCCUAAUUUAAGAGAGAGAAAGAGAGAGAAAUUCAAAAAAGAAAAAGAAAAAUAAUUUUUUUUAAAAAAAAAGUUUUUAAUUUACAGGUUUUCCGUGAUUAUAGCCAUAAUACGAUAAGUACCAUCUAACAAACUUCUUCAACCCGGUUUGCAAAUCCGUGGUGGGUUUGUACCCGAGUUCCCUCCGAGCCGAACUAAUAUUCGCAUGAGUAAACGGAACG